UAAAGUGUCGUCGGUUUCGGUUUCGGUUGUGGUUUAGGCUAUAGAGACAAAGAGAGCUAGGUUAGGAGAAGGCGAAGGCCACUGAACUGAAAGCCCUGCUUCUGCCUCCACUGAAAGCUCCAAAGUCUGCCGGAGUUAAGCUUCGUACACCUCUGGAAGCGACGACGCCCGCCGCCACGCAGAGUCGUUGGAAAUCAUGUUUCUGGAAGCUUCCGGAGAUCUACGAAGAAUCGAGGGCGAAGAUUGUUGGGAGAGUGAAGAAGAAAGAGGAAAGUUCAGUGGUUCAGGGUUAGAUUCAAGCGAGGAAGAUGUUUGAGAGGGAGAAGGUGAAAUCGGUGUGUGAGAGUAACAAGAAGACGGUGAAGUAGGGUAGGAUGGUGGCGAGUAGGUAUAAUGGCGGUGGUGAUGUGAGGAAGAGGUUGUUGCCAGAAGGAGGGAGUGAGAUUAGGGUUAAGAAGAGGCACUUGGUGUUCCGGUGAACAGGCUUGUCCAAGCUGCUGAUUCAGUUUGCGUAUGCUUUCUGUUCUUCUUCCCGUUUGCCUACAAUUCAUUAUAUUUCUUGGCCUUUAUCUAACUUAUUGAUGAAAGUUCUAGAGGACUGAUUUUAUGGUCUCUUUCAUAUGAAAUUUAUUGCGUCUAUAAUACCUCAUUGAAUAAUAGUAAAGCAAACCUUUGUGCUGGAGCACUUGUUGCCUUGCAGGAAAAUAUUGGAAAGCUAGAAAUUGAUCAUAAUAAAGCUAGAUUUUUAGCUGGUAAAUGUCACAGUUUUAGAUGACUCCAUGUGGAGUUCUGGUCUGUUUCAUGAAUUCUAAUUUUCUUAAACUUACUAUUGUACUGUAAAUUUUCUUCAGCCUCUAGAGAAUGAUCUGAAGGUUUCCUAUGAUCAGUUUAUUCAAAAGUGUGUUCUGUCCUGUUUUUUGUUGCAAUCAGAGGGUCUUUUAACUUUGAGGGGGUUUAGUUAUUUGAAUUAUG
rnacentral:sRNA from 1 species